rnacentral:rRNA from 1 species
UACGUAGGGUGCAGGCGUUAAUCGGAAUUACUGGGCGUAAAGCGUGCGUAGGCGGUGGUCCAAGUCUGGUGUGAAAUCUCCCGGCUCAACUGGGAGGGUGCGCCGGAAACUGGGCCGCUGGAGUAUGGGAGAGGCAAGCGGAAUUCCAGGUGUAGCGGUGAAAUGCGUAGAUAUCUGGAGGAACACCCGUGGUGCAGACGGCUUGCUGGACCAUGACUGACGCUGAGGCACGAAAGCGUGGGUAGCAAACAGG